AGCAGCUCUCAUGGCCAUCAGGGGGGUACAGCUAGUUCACCAGUAAGGGGCCCGAGCCCCCGCUGCACCCCCGCCCCCCGGAGCCAUCUACUCCGCAUCCUUUUUUUAAAUAAAUCUUCAGCCUGCAGCCCUGUCACCACGCAGGGGCUGCGCUAUGCAGACUGGGAAGAGCAGACAGGAAGCUCCUCCCCCUCUCUCACUCCCCUGUAUACUGGACCUUGUGGAGCAGGCCCGCUGUGUGUAUACAGGCCCGGACACCACCAGUAUGGAAGACUUACCUGCCCAGUGCCCACUGCUCAUGCUGCCCUUUUAAAGAUAUCACGCUCUCUUCUUUACCACACACUGCCACCUGGCAUCAGGGACAGUUACACAUCUAUGCAUACAUAGAGACCAUCGACACAUUGAGGAUUAUUACCACUAUCUGCAGAUUACAUCAACAUUCAACAAUAAAAGUAUCUCUAUUGUUUAACCCUUUCAGCGCUGGGAUAUGUUUAUUUAAAUAUAUAUAUUUUUAUACACACACUCUACUGUAGAGACCCUGCUCAGGUUUCAGUUUGCGGCCCAAUUUCCUGCCACAGGGUGUGGAUUAAAGUUGCUCGUGAUGCGAUAGCUACACAGCACUUAGCAUGACUGGAAGCCAACAAUGAGUUAAGUGUAUGCAGAAGAGUCCUUGCUCAGCUACUACUUUUUACUGACAAGAAAAAUUCUUCUCAUUGGAGCAGGAAGCAGGAUUUUGGAGAUAA